UCAGUCGACUCCUACGGGGAGGCAGCAGUGGGGAAUAUUGCACAAUGGGGGAAACCCUGAUGCAGCCAUGCCGCGUGUGUGAAGAAGGCCUUCGGGUUGUAAAGCACUUUCAGUAGGGAGGAAGGUAGUGUAGUUAACACCUGCAUUAUUUGACGUUACCUACAGAAGAAGCACCGGCUAACUCCGUGCCAGCAGCCGCGGUAAUACGGAGGGUGCGAGCGUUAAUCGGAAUUACUGGGCGUAAAGCGCAUGCAGGCGGCCUGUUAAGUCAGAUGUGAAAGACCCGGGGCUUAACCUCGGAAUUGCAUUUGAAACUAGGCAGGCUAGAGUCUUGUAGAGGGGGGUAGGAAUUUCAGGUGUAGCGGUGAAAUGCGUAGAGAUCUGAAGGAAUACCAGUGGCGAAGGCGGCCCCCUGGACAAAGACUGACGCUCAGAUGCGAAAGCGUGGGGAGCAAACAGGAUUAGAUACCCUGGUAG
rnacentral:rRNA from 1 species